CUGUCGCCGGCUUUGUUCUGUUACCGGACUCUCCCCCCAGCCCCUCCGGUUCCUCCCCCCCUUUCCAUCACCCGCCGUUGCCAUAGUGCCCGCCCCCCCCUUCAUCCUCUCGCGAUACUUCGCACCGUUACCAUGGUACUCGCUCCCGUCCUUCGUCCUCUCGCGAUACUUCGCACCGUUGCCAUGGUACUCGCACCCGUCCUUCAUCCUCUCGCGAUACUUCGCACCGUUGCCAUGGUCCGCGCCCCCGUUGCCAUGGCGGCCCCGCCCCGCUCGGUCACGUGAUGCUGCGCGACGCCGCUCCGCUCCGGGCUGGGCCGCCCCCGCCAUGAAGCGGCCGCGGGCCCCCGGGAGCGGCCCGCGCUGAACCCCCGCGUCCUCCGCUGCCGCUGCGCCCCAUGGGCUCACCAGGUGGGUGCCCCCCCC